rnacentral:rRNA from 1 species
UACGGAGGAUCCCAAGCGUUAUCCGGAUUUAUUGGGUUUAAAGGGUGCGUAGGCGGCUUAUUAAGUCAGGGGUGAAAGACGGUGGCUCAACCAUCGCAGUGCCUUUGAUACUGAUGAGCUUGAAUGAACUUGAGGUAGGCGGAAUGUGACAAGUAGCGGUGGAAUGCAUAGAUAUGUCACAGAACACCAAUUGCGAAGGCAGCUUACUAAAGUUUAAUUGACGCUGAGGCACGAAAGCGUGGGGAUCAAACAGGAUUAGAAACCCCUGUAGU